GAUGAACGCUGGCGGCGUGCCUAAUACAUGCAAGUCGAGCGAACAGAUGAGGAGCUUGCUCCUCUGACGUUAGCGGCGGACGGGUGAGUAACACGUGGAUAACCUACCUAUAAGACUGGGAUAACUUCGGGAAACCGGAGCUAAUACCGGAUAAUAUAUUGAACCGCAUGGUUCAAUAGUGAAAGACGGUUUUGCUGUCACUUAUAGAUGGAUCCGCGCUGCAUUAGCUAGUUGGUAAGGUAACGGCUUACCAAGGCAACGAUGCGUAGCCGACCUGAGAGGGUGAUCGGCCACACUGGAACUGAGACACGGUCCAGACUCCUACGGGAGGCAGCAGUAGGGAAUCUUCCGCAAUGGGCGAAAGCCUGACGGAGCAACGCCGCGUGAGUGAUGAAGGUCUUCGGAUCGCAAAACUCUGUUAUUAGGGAAGAACAAAUGUGUAAGUAACUAUGCACGUCUUGACGGUACCUAAUCAGAAAGCCACGGCUAACUACGUG
rnacentral:rRNA from 1 species